ensembl:miRNA
UAUUAGGUUGGUGCAAAAGUAAUUGUAGUUUUUGCUACUAAAAGUAAUGAAAAAACUCACAAUUACUUUUACACCAACCUAAUAUUU